GGGUGCGAUCAUACCAGCACUAAUGCACCGGAUGCCAUCAGAACUCCGCAGUUUAUGCGUGCUUGGGCGAGAGUAGUACUAGGAUGGGUGACUUGGUGAGAAGUCCUCGUGUUGCACCCC
rnacentral:rRNA from 1 species